GACAAGCACAAAAGCCCCGCCCAUGCCUCUGAGAACAUUGGACCACGAGCCUUUGAAAAAGGCUUCGGCUCCUUCGUCACGAGUAAUCUUCCUCCAGCAAUCAAGCGUGCCUGUGCACAUGAUAUCAGUUCCUUGGCGCCCUGACUGCAUCAUCAUGCGGCGACGCACAGUGUCGAACAGAUAGGAACUCAACCCAGCAACCGCCGUGACUGCGCGGUCAGCCAGCUAAUGAAGAUAGGAGUGUUCUUGGGAUCUGGAAGCAUUCCCUUGGCAGUGUCAUAGAUACCGAACUCCAGCUUUGCCCAUGUCGGCUCCUAGACGGGUACGGGCAAAGUCGAGAGGGUACACAAAACACAGGGACGUGGCCCCCGGCGGCACCACCUGAUGCCAGAUUCCCUGCAAAUGAUUUGCUUGCUGGCAUGCUGCCCCUGCAUCAGCAGCUUCACCUGCUCGAUGGGCGCGACCGUGGUCUUGGAGAUGGCCGCCGCCACUCCACCUGCCAGGAAGUCCUUGGCGAAGGACACGGCAGCAUCUGUCAUCUUGGAAGGAAAGAGCUCCUCUGUACAUGGGAUUUCCUAGGCCUGGAAUGGAUUGCCAUUUUCUUCUCCAGAGGAUCUUCCUGAUCCAGGGAUCGACCCCGAGUCUCCUGCUUGGCAGGCAGCUUCUUUACCACUGAGCUACCUGGGAAGCCCGAUCUGCAUACUUUCUGCUAACUCAUCUCUGUGUCUCCAUUUUUCAAUUGUUUUAUUUCAAAGCACAUAUUGAAAAGGGC
ensembl:lncRNA